UACGUAGGUGGCAAGCGUUGUCCGGAAUUAUUGGGCGUAAAGCGCGCGCAGGCGGUCUUUUAAGUCUGAUGUGAAAGCCCACGGCUUAACCGUGGAGGGUCAUUGGAAACUGGAGGACUUGAGUGCAGAAGAGGAGAGUGGAAUUCCACGUGUAGCGGUGAAAUGCGUAGAGAUGUGGAGGAACACCAGUGGCGAAGGCGGGUCUCUGGGCCGUAACUGACGCUGAGGAGCGAAAGCGUGGGGAGCGAACAGG
rnacentral:rRNA from 1 species